rnacentral:lncRNA from 1 species
GGACCAAAACUAAAAAAUAAACCAAACUUUGGCAUAAAUACUCAGUUCCCAAGAGAGAUUGAAGAGAGAAGAAAAAAAUUGUACCCCGUGAUGAAAGAGGCAAAGAAAAAAGGAAAAAGAGCAUACAUGAUAAAAGAUAAGCUGUUUAUCGAAGGAAAUAUUUUUAAACCGGAAAUUAAGAAACAAUCACCUGGUGAACAAAAAACCCA